CCUACGGGGGGCUGCAGUGGGGAAUAUUGGACAAUGGGCGAAAGCCUGAUCCAGCCAUGCCGCGUGUGUGAAGAAGGCCUUCGGGUUGUAAAGCACUUUCAGUGGGGAAGAAAGCCUUGGGGCUAAUACCCUCGAGGAAGGACAUCACCCACAGAAGAAGCACCGGCUAACUCCGUGCCAGCAGCCGCGGUAAUACGGAGGGUGCGAGCGUUAAUCGGAAUUACUGGGCGUAAAGCGCGCGUAGGCGGUCUGAUAAGCCGGUUGUGAAAGCCCCGGGCUCAACCUGGGAACGGCAUCCGGAACUGUCAGGCUAGGGUGCAGGAGAGAAGGUAGAAUUCCCGGUGUAGCGGUGAAAUGCGUAGAGAUCGGGAGGAAUACCAGUGGCGAAGGCGGCCUUCUGGACUGAAACUGACGCUGAGGUGCGAAAGCGUGGGUAGCAAACAGGAUUAGAUACCCUGGUAGUC
rnacentral:rRNA from 1 species